ACUAAGACGUGUAUGGAAACUUGAAAUACAAGAAGAGAAUAUGAAGAAGUAAGACUAGAAAAGAACUCAUCGCCUGUUGGGGUGACCACAAGGACUUGGUUGACAAUGGAUGUGACUUUGUUCUGAGAGUGCCUUUGUUUAGAAUGAUAACUGACUGAUAAUUGGAGACCAUCCUCAUGACUAUAACGUGAACUCCUCGGUGCACCUUUUUCAGAAAGGAACGUGAGUGAGGCUACAGAGGAUUAAGGAGAACAUUCUUCCCUUUGCAAACGAAUGGUAGAGGCCGGGCGCGGUGGCUCACGCCUGUAAUCC